CGAACGGGUGAGUAACACGUAGGAAACCUGCCCUUAGGAUUGGGAUACUCCCGAGAAAUCGGGCUCAAUACCGGAUAUGACCCCAGGGUGAAAUGCCCAGGGGUAAAAGCUGCGAGCAAUCGUGGCACCUAAGGAGGGGCCUGCGGCCUAUCAGCUUGUUGGUGAGGUAAUGGCUCACCAAGGCGAAGACGGGUAGCCGGACUGAGAGGUCGAUCGGCCACACUGGAACUGAGACACGGUCCAG
rnacentral:rRNA from 1 species